AAUCCAGAAAGUAAACCGGUUGGAGAGGCAUCAAAUAAACCAAAAGAUAAACCCGCUGGAGGACCAACAGAUAAUCCAGAAAGUAAACCGGUUGAAGAGGCAUCAAAUAAACCAAAAGAUAAACCUGCUGGUGGGUCAACAGAUACGCCAGAAGCUGGAAAGACAUCAAAUAAACCAAAAGAUAAACCCGCUGGAAGACCAACAGAUAAGCCAGAAAGUAAACCGGCUGGAGAGGCAUCAAAUAAACCAAAAGAUAAACCCGUUGGUGGACCAACAGAUAAACAAGAAAAUAAACCAGCCGAAGGAUCAGCAGAUAAACCAAAAGAUAAACCUGCUGAAGGACCAACAGAUAAACCGACCGGAGGGGCUGCAAAUAAACCGGCUGGAGAAGCAGCAAACAAACCGACUGGAAAACCGAAAAAUAAACCGGCUGGAGAGAAUAAACCACCGGCAU
rnacentral:lncRNA from 1 species